AACGGCCGUACCAUGCUGAAUAUACCGGUUCUCGUUAGAUCACCGAAGUUAAGCAUCAUUGGGCGCGGUCAGUACAUGGGUGGGUGACCACCUGGGAACACUGCGUGCCGUU
rnacentral:rRNA from 1 species